GGGCCCGCACAAGCGGAGGAACAUGUGGUUUAAUUCGAUGAUACGCGAGGAACCUUACCCGGGAUUGAAAUGCAGAGGAAUGACGGUGAAAGUCGUCAGCCGGAAACGGUCUCUGUGUAGGUGCUGCAUGGUUGUCGUCAGCUCGUGCCGUGAGGUGUCGGCUUAAGUGCCAUAACGAGCGCAACCCUGACUGUCAGUUGCUAACAGGUAAAGCUGAGGACUCUGGCGGGACUGCCGGCGUAAGCUGUGAGGAAGGUUGGGAUGACGUCAAAUCAGCACGGCCCUUACAUCCGGGGCGACACACGUGUUACAAUGGCACGGACAAAGGGCAGCUACCUGGUGACAGGAUGCGAAUCCCCAAACCGUGUCUCAGUUCGGAUCGGAGUCUGCAACUCGACUCCGUGAAGCUGGAUUCGCUAAUAAUCGCGCAUCAGCCAUGGCGCGGUGAAUACG
rnacentral:rRNA from 1 species